CCUACGAGUGGCAGCAGUGGGGAAUAUUGCACAAUGGGGGAAACCCUGAUGCAGCGACGCCGCGUGAGUGAAGAAGUAUUUCGGUAUGUAAAGCUCUAUCAGCAGGGAAGAAGAAAGACGGUACCUUACUAACAAGCCCCGGCUAACUACGUGCCAGCAGCCGCGGUAAUGCGUAGGGAGCAAGCGUUAUCCGGAUUUACUGGGUGUAAAGGGAGCGUAGACGGCUGUGCAAGUCUGAAGGGAAAGCCCAGGGCUCAACCCUAGGACUGCUGUGGAAACUGUGGAGCUAGAGUGCUGGAGAGGUAGGUGGAAUUCGUGGUGUAGCGGUGAAAUGCGUAGAUAUUAGGAAGAACACCAGGUGCGAAGGCAGCUUACUGGACCGUAACUGACGUUGAGGCUCGAAAGUGUGGGGAGCAAACAGGAUUAGAUACCCUAGUAGUC
rnacentral:rRNA from 1 species